GGCGACCGGCGCACGGGGGAGUAACGCGUAUGCAACUUGCCUAUCAGAGGGGGAUAACCCGGCGAAAGUCGGACUAAUACCGCAUGAAGCAGGGGCCCCGCAUGGGGAUAUUUGCUAAAGAUUCAUCGCUGAUAGAUAGGCAUGCGUUCCAUUAGGCAGUUGGCGGGGUAACGGCCCACCAAACCGACGAUGGAUAGGGGUUCUGAGAGGAAGGUCCCCCACAUUGGUACUGAGACACGGACCAAACUCCUACGGGAGGCAGCAGUGAGGAAUAUUGGUCAAUGGCCGAGAGGCUGAACCAGCCAAGUCGCGUGAGGGAUGAAGGUUCUAUGGAUCGUAAACCUCUUUUAUAAGGGAAUAAAGUGCGGGACGUGUCCCGUUUUGUAUGUACCUUAUGAAUAAGGAUCGGCUAACUCCGUGCCAGCAGCCGCGGUAAUACGGAGGAUCCGAGCGUUAUCCGGAUUUAUUGGGUUUAAAGGGUGCGUAGGCGGCCUUUUAAGUCAGCGGUGAAAGUCUGUGGCUCAACCAUAGAAUUGCCGUUGAAACUGGGGGGCUUGAGUAUGUUUGAGGCAGGCGGAAUGCGUGGUGUAGCGGUGAAAUGCAUAGAUAUCACGCAGAACCCCGAUUGCGAAGGCAGCCUGCCAAGCCAUUACUGACGCUGAUGCACGAAAGCGUGGGGAUCAAACAGGAUUAGAUACCCUGGUAGUCCACGCAGUAAACGAUGAUCACUAGCUGUUUGCGAUACACUGUAAGCGGCACAGCGAAAGCGUUAAGUGAUCCACCUGGGGAGUACGCCGGCAACGGUGAAACUCAAAGGAAUUGACGGGGGCCCGCACAAGCGGAGGAACAUGUGGUUUAAUUCGAUGAUACGCGAGGAACCUUACCCGGGUUCGAACGCAUUCGGACCGAGGUGGAAACACCUUUUCUAGCAAUAGCCGUUUGCGAGGUGCUGCAUGGUUGUCGUCAGCUCGUGCCGUGAGGUGUCGGCUUAAGUGCCAUAACGAGCGCAACCCUUGCCACUAGUUACUAACAGGUAAAGCUGAGGACUCUGGUGGGACUGCCAGCGUAAGCUGCGAGGAAGGCGGGGAUGACGUCAAAUCAGCACGGCCCUUACAUCCGGGGCGACACACGUGUUACAAUGGCGUGGACAAAGGGAAGCCACCUGGCGACAGGGAGCGAAUCCCCAAACCACGUCUCAGUUCGGAUCGGAGUCUGCAACCCGACUCCGUGAAGCUGGAUUCGCUAGUAAUCGCGCAUCAGCCAUGGUGCGGUGAAUACGUUCCCGGGCCUUGUACACACCGCCCGUCAAGCCAUGGGAGCCGGGGGUACAUGAAGUCCGUAACCGAAAGGAUCGGCCUAGGGUA
rnacentral:rRNA from 1 species